AGCUUUGUGCAGUGGCAGUAUCGUAGCCAAUGAGGCUUAUCCAAGGCGUGAUUAUUGCUAACUGAAAACAGAAAUUAUUUGUGUGACAAGUUAAAUAGCCUUCUAGAACAUGAGACUUUGUAUCUGAGAAUGGAGAUGUCUG